rnacentral:pre_miRNA from 1 species
AGCCUUCUUACUCGGAAUACGACAGCUUUUGUGGUUAUCAAUUGUGAAUUCUGAGACAAAUUGCAUAGUCACAAAAGUGAUCGUAAUCUCAGGCAUCACCA